rnacentral:rRNA from 1 species
AUUGAACGCUGGCGGCAGGCCUAACACAUGCAAGUCGAGCGGAGCGGCCGACGGGUGGGUAAUGACUAGGAAUCUGCCUUGUCGUGGGGGAUAACGUCCGUAACCGGACGCUAAUCCCGCAUCCUAUCAGCUGACCCUAGGUGGGAUUAGCUAGCUGGUGGGGUAAAGGCCUACCAAGGCGACGAUCCGUAACUGGUCUGAGAGGCUGAUCAGUCACACUGGAACUGAGACACGGUCCAGACUCCUACGGGAGGCAGCAGUGGGGAAUAUUGGACAAUGGGCGAAAGCCUGAUCCAGCCAUGCCGCGUGAGUGAAGAAGGUCUUCGGAUUGUAAAGCACUGUAAGUUGGGAGGCGUUACCAACAGAAUAAGCAACGGCUAACUUCGUGCCAGCAGCCGCGGUAAUUC